rnacentral:rRNA from 1 species
ACGGAAGGCAGCAGUGGGGAAUAUUGCACAAUGGGGGAAACCCUGAUGCAGCGACGCCGCGUGAGCGAAGUAGUAUUUCGGUAUGUAAAGCUCUAUCAGCAGGGAAGAAAAUGACGGUACCUGACUAAGGAGCCCCGGCUAACUACGUGCCAGCAGCCGCGGUAAUACGUAGGGGGCAAGCGUUAUCCGGAUUUACUGGGUGUGAAGGGAGCGUAGACGGCAAGGUAAGUCUGAAGUGAAAUGCCGGGGCUCAACCCCGGAACUGCUCUGGAAACUAUCUCGCUCGAGUACCGGAGGGGUAAGCGGAAUUCCUAGUGUAGCGGUGAAAUGCGUAGAUAUUAGGAGGAACACCAGUGGCGAAGGCGGCUUACUGGACGGUAACUGACGUUGAGGCUCGAAAGCGUGGGGAUCAAACAGGAUUAGAUACCCUGGUA